CCUGCUCAGCCUGAAGGGAGUCGGGCAUCUAUGGGGAGACAUGUGCAGCAGGGAGCAGAAGCGCUGAGAUGCUCUGGAGAAACGGUUUUGGCUGGAAGUUCCCAGGGCGAGAGGUGGAACCCUCACCACAACAGCGACCUGACUUGCUGCAGUGACAAUGUGGGAUCCUAAAGCUGCUGUACCAAAGGGGAACUCCAAGUUCAAAUCACUUUUAAAGGAAAACCGAUCAAAUGCGGAACACAAAAAUCUUAUUUUAUUCAUUUAAGAAAAUGAUUUUGCACAGCUAUGCCUCCUAUAAAGAUUAGCUGACCCUCCAAAGGUAAAAGAUUAGCUGACUUCUUGCAUCCAGAUGUGCUAAUUGAAUAUCUUACAGGAACCCCCACGAUCCACGCUGACAGACUCUGCUCCAGUGUGAGGCAGCAAGGAUUCAGGGGCACCUGCAGGACAUUUGGAAUGAGAAAGAUCCAUGUUUGAGUCCUGGCUCUGUGAUUUGGGGUCCUUCCAUUUAUCUUUCUGGGUCUAAUUUUUCUCAAUUAAAAGAAAGGAUUAGGAGUUCCCAUCAUGGCUCAGCAGAAAUGAAUCUCACUAGUAUCCAUGAGGAUGCAGGUUCAAUCCCUGGCCUCACUCAGUGGGCUAAGGAUCCAGCGUUGCUGUGGGCUGUGGUGUAGGUCGCAGACAUGGCUCAGAUCCCGAGUUGUUGUGGUCGUGGUAUAGGCUGGCAGCUACAGCUCCGGUUUGACUCCUAGCCUGGGAACUGCCAUAUGCUGCAGGUGCAGCCGUAAAAAGACCUAAAUAAAUACAUAAAUAAGACAGGAUCAGACCUGACCAUGGGUCUUCAGGCAGACAGCCAUAGCAUCUCCUGGGUUAAUUGAAAAGGACAGAUUCCUGGGCUCCACCCAAGAACUCCUGAAGCAGAAUUUCCGAGGGCCCAUGCUUUUAACAAGGUCACUAAGUACUUCUGAUGUGGAACCAGGCUUAGGAGCACUGGUAGAGUAUUUCGGAACCCUUUCAGCUCUCAAAUGAGUUGCUUAAGCUUAGUGAAUAUUGGCAACAUCUCAGAAAAUGGAGAUAUUAAUAUUCACCUCCAACUCAUAUAGUAUCAUCAUAUUAAGGACUUUGGAAAUUCUAAAACCACCUGCAAAUGAUAUCAAGAUUGGAAGAAAACCAUUUUAUGCAUUCAAAGUGAUGUAUAAAAACCCACUUUAUAGGGGACGUGUAGGAAGCUCCCAUCCAUGUCUGUGGGAGUUUCCUAUGUGAUAUUGUAAGAGACCUUGACAUUGAGCUGGUUCCAAGCACAACCAAGAAACAGAUGAAGAUUUAUUGCUAAUAUUUUUAAACUUUAUGAACUUUCCCAGCUCCCUUAACCUUCCCUUACUUUUCCAGGUUACCCAGAGAGAAAGCUGCCAACGUGGUUGACACAUAAUCAGUUUCCCAAAGGGUGUCCCAUGGAACACAAGCAGGUGUUAUGGAAAAAAUGGGGGCAGUUUCUGCAUCAGCUACAUCUAGGAAAUGCUGUGCUGAUCAGGUUUUAUUAAGAAUUCCAAGAGCCUUUACCACGUUAAUAUGAACAGCUACAUCUACAUGAAAGCAAAAAGCAUGAUCAGCAUUGCCAGGCAUAUUUGAUCAGGGAGUCUAUUUAUGGUGGGUCAUCUCUAAGGACCAGGGCAAUUUUGCAUUGAGGUUCUAGCCAUCUGACGCUCAUUCCUCCUAGGUGUCUUCCUCUUCAAAUUAGGACAGCUAGGAAGCCCAGGCUCAAUUUAGACUAAAUUAAGACCUGGCUGUGCAUCACCUGGGAAGUGUUUAACAAAUAUGAAUCCCCGGGCCCCACCCCAGGCAUACUGACUCAGCAUGCAACCAGCCCCAGAACAUCCUUGGACCUGUGAUUGAGAGUCCUCCCAAGCAUGAAUCACAGCAGGCAUCUAAGCGGGAGGAAUUCUCUAAGGGCGAUCCUGCAGUGUUCUUUCAACUGCAUCAGGCUGUCAGGGCAUCGGCUCUCUCUUGGGAUGCUGGACCCUCCCCAGAGGAUGGGAGGCAGCUCCUUAAACAUUCUCAAGUGUACCUGCAAUCUGGAGACGUGAACAGUGCUUUGGAUGUGCCCACGGCCUCCCUGUGUGACCACGCGCCGGUCCCAGAACCUCUCUUGGUUUCACUUUCCUCCUUGCAAGUUGGCAGUGCUCAUGGACGCCUUGGGCCCUUUACAGAGACUCAGUAAAAGCCAAUGAGUCUAGAGGAACAACACAGAUUGACUGCAUAGCACGUGGAACUAUAUUCAAUACCUUGUAAUAACCCGUAAUGGAAAAGGAUCUGAAGCUGUAUACCUGAAACAGACACAAUAUUAUAAAUCAACUAUAGUUUAA
ensembl:lncRNA